rnacentral:SRP_RNA from 1 species
GCCGGGCACAGUGGCACAUGCCUGUAGUCCCAGCUACCAGGGAGGCUGAGGCUGGAGUAUCGCUUGAGUCCAGGAGUUCUGGACUACUGUGCGCUUUGCCGAUUGGGUGUUCGCACAAAGUUUGGCAUCAACAUAGUGACCUCCCGUAGCGGGGGACCACCAGGUUGCCUAAGGAGGGGUGAACUGGCCCAGGUCGGAAAUGGAGCAGGUCAAAACUCCCGUGUUGAUCAGUAGGUCUGCUUCUAUUCUAAUGGGUUUUCCUUGGUAGGUAAUCUGCCCUUUCUCUCUUGCUGCCUUU